GUGCUCACUUCGGCCACACGUAUACUAAAAUUGGAACAAUACAGAGUAGAUUAGCAUGGCCCCCGCACAAGGAUGACAUGCAAAUUUGUGAAGCAAAAACUAACAUC